AUCAUUAAGCGGUGGAAAAGAAAACAAAAGUGAUACCCCUAGUAACGGCGAGCGAACAGGGUAGAGUCCAACGCAAAGGCGCACUGUGCAUUUGUAUGGUGAGCGAUGCUGCGUGUGGGUUUGAUGCUUGAGUUCAAAAUCGUGUGUUGGCAUGUGUGCAAACGAAUUACCUAGUAGUUGGCCAUAGCAGGUUAAAGCCCUGUGUGCACACUGUAGGUCCACAUGCGACAGUACGAAGGCUUAAACCUGAGAGUAGGAUUGUUCGAGAGUGCAAUCUGAAGUAGGAGGUAUGCAUCUCCUAAGACUAAAUAUCACUGCGAGACCGAUAGCGAACAAGUAGCGUAAGCGAAAGUUGAAAAGAACUUUGAAGAGAGAGUUCAAAGAGCGUGAAACCACUAGUAGGGAAACGGAUGUUACCUCGAGUAGGCGAUGCGUGCUUGUGGUUGUUCGUGAUUGGCGCUACAUGCGUACAAAGUUUAGCGCUAGUUUCGGCUGGUGAAACCUUUGUGCGUAUGGGGCUGCCAGCGCAAUAGCUGUAAAUCAAGUGCGUUGCCAGUAUCUUGCACUCUUUCAAGGCUUGGUAGUGCUUGUGAAUGCCUAUGCAGCACCUUUGGGGAGGCUGUGUAGGUUCAUAAGUAGGCUGUCUAGUAUACAAAUGUAGAUGUGCGUUGAUCUUGCGUCAGCGUGAUCUAUGAUUGUUACAAGUCCCUACCAUAGAGCGAAGAGAAGAGGAGUAGGGUAUAAGUAGAUCGGUAAGCAUCUGUCCCGUCUUGAAACACGGACCAAGGAGCCUAGCGUGUGCGCAAGUCAUUCAGUGUUACACUAAACUAGACUGGCGCAACGAAAGCAAUAUGGCGUAAGUUCGUACAAUGAGCUUACGCUGCUACGAGGCGCUGACCGGCCUUUAAAAGCCUGCAGUGUCGCAGUAGCGAUGCGAUGAUUUUUCGUCGUAUCAGAGCGCACACGAUAGUACCCGAAAGAUGGUGAAUUAUGCUUGAGCAGGGUGAAGCCAAAGGAAACUUUGGUGGAAGCCUGAAGCAGUUUUGACGUGCAAAUCGAUUGUCAGACUCGAGUAUAGCGGCGAAAGACUAAUCGAACCAUCUAGUAGCUGGUUUCCUUCGAAAUUUCCCGCAGGAUAGCAAGCGCGCUACAAAUCAUUCAAACCUGUUACAGUCUCAAUAGAAGGUAACGGGGCGUUAUUUGACCUUGUCCUUUUCCUAAACUUGGUCAAUGGGUUGCACUAGUUGCAUUACUCUACAUGCUUGCUGCAUGUAGCCACAAACCUAACUAGAGGAUGAUUUGCGCUUAGUGGGCCAUUUUUGGUAAGCAGAACUGGCGAUGUGGGAUGAACCGUACACAGAGUUAAAGUGCCUAAUGUUUAUACGCUAAGAAGAUCCCAUUAAAGAUGUUGUUCGCUUAAGACAGUAGGGCGGUGGCCAUGGAAGUCGGCAUCCGCUAAGGAGUGUGUAACAACUCACCUACCGAAGCGUUCAACUCUGAAAAUGGAUGGCGCUAAAGCGUUAUACUGAAACUCUGUCGUAGGUAGUAAAUCCUGUGCAAGGGUGCGUUUGGCGUGUGUGAUUAUCUUGUGUAAUCACCCGUCGCGCACAUCAGACUCCUACGAGUAGGAGGAAUGCGGUGGUGGCGUAGAAGCUUUGGACGUAAGUCCGGGUGGAGCCGCUGCUGAUACAGAUCUUGGUGGUAGUAGCAAACAAACAAGUGACAACCUUGUUGACCGACGUGGAUAAGGGUUCCAUGUGAACAGUAUUUGGUCAUGGGUUAGUCGAUCCUGAGGGGCGCGGCGAAAGCCGUAUCGUAAGAAGUGUGCCUUGCUGCAUACGCCUCGAAAGGGAAUCAGGUUAAUAUUCCUGAACCUUGCACGUGACAGUUUUCGCAAGAAGACGUGGCGGCGACGCGUUCGAACCCAAAGACGUCAGCUGGAGUCCUGGGAAGAGAUUUCUUCUCUUCUGUAAGGUGUGCUGAGUGCCUUGAAACAGUUUAGCUGGAGACAGGCAUGUACGCACCGAAUUGCAGCGCGCUUCAUGUGCUGUUCGCAGUGUACUCUGGUUGGCCCUUGAAAAUUUGGGCAAGUGUGUGUAAGUCACUGCAAGAUCGUACCUAGAUCCGCAACCGGUAUCCUAGGUGAACAGCCUCUGGUCUAUUAGAAUAAUGUAAGUAAGGGAAGUCGGCAAAACUGAUCUGUAUCUUUGGUACAAAGAUUGGCUCUGGCGAGUUUGCUAGCUGCGUCGUGAUUAGUAAGCGUGAGCGUGCGUCGCGCGUACUGGAGGGCAGUUCUCACGAACACACCCAUCGGGAUGUGCGCGCUGCUUGCGUUGAGCAUUGCGAGUACGGCUAGCAAAUAGAACAAAUAGUCAGAACUAUCAUUGACUUUUCGGAAUCUGACUGUUUAAUUAAAACAUAGCAUCGAGAUGACUGGUGACCCAGUGUUGACUCGAUGUGAAUUCUGCCCAGUGCUCUGAAUGUCAACGUGUAGAAAUUCAAUGAAGCGCGGGUAAACGGCGGGAGUAACUAUGACUCUCUUAAGGUAGCCAAAUGCCUCGUCAUCUAAUUAGUGACGUGCAUGAAUGGAUUAACGAGAUUCCAUCUGUCCCUACUUACUAUCUAGCGAAACCACAGCCAAGGGAACGGGCUUGGCGAAAUCAGCGGGGAAAGAAGACCCUGUUGAGCUUGACUCUAGUCUGGCAUUGUGAGGAAACUGUAUUCGGUAUAGCCUAGGUGGGAGAUAGUAGCAAUAUUAUCGGUAUAAACUGUAAAACCACCACGAUACAGCACCACUCACUGACUUAGUUAUGAGGCUCACCUUGUGGGUUCACUUUUGUGAACUGCAAGGGAAUCUUCGUAAUAGCGCACUAAGUCGAGAUGAGCAGCUGCGGAUGGCGUGUCGGUGUGUUUUUACGAAUGCAUGUCUGUGCGUACAUCGGGUUGCAACAAGCAUCACGUCGAGGCAUUAUCUAAGGACAGUGCCAGGCGGGGAGUUUGACUGGGGCGGUACAUCUAUCAAAUGCUAACGUAGGUGUCCUAAUGUUAGCUCAGUGAGACCAGAAAUCUCACGUAGAAUAUAAGGGUACAAGCUGGCUUGAUUCUGAAUAACAGUACGAUUGCGAGACAAGAAAUUGUGGCCUAACGAUCCUUUUGAGAAGCGAAAUACUAUCAAUGCAUAAUACAAGAGGUGUCAGAAAAGUUACCACAGGGAUAACUGGCUUGUGGCGGCCAAGCGUUCAUAGCGACGCCGCUUUUUGAUCCUUCGAUGUC
rnacentral:rRNA from 1 species